rfam:Oryza sativa Indica Group cultivar 93-11 Ctg046462, whole genome shotgun sequence.
GGAUGCGAUCGUACCAGCACUAAAGCACCGGAUCCCAUCAGAACUCCGAAGUUAAGCGUGCUUGGGCGAGAGUAGUACUAGGAUGGGUGACCUCCUGGGAAGUCCUCGUGUUGCAUCCC